rnacentral:rRNA from 1 species
CUACGGGUUGCUGCAGUGGGGAAUAUUGCACAAUGGGCGCAAGCCUGAUGCAGCCAUGCCGCGUGUAUGAAGAAGGCCUUCGGGUUGUAAAGUACUUUCAGCGGGGAGGAAGGGAGUAAAGUUAAUACCUUUGCUCAUUGACGUUACCCGCAGAAGAAGCACCGGCUAACUCCGUGCCAGCAGCCGCGGUAAUACGGAGGGUGCAAGCGUUAAUCGGAAUUACUGGGCGUAAAGCGCACGCAGGCGGUUUGUUAAGUCAGAUGUGAAAUCCCCGGGCUCAACCUGGGAACUGCAUCUGAUACUGGCAAGCUUGAGUCUCGUAGAGGGGGGUAGAAUUCCAGGUGUAGCGGUGAAAUGCGUAGAGAUCUGGAGGAAUACCGGUGGCGAAGGCGGCCCCCUGGACGAAGACUGACGCUCAGGUGCGAAAGCGUGGGGAGCAAACAGGAUUAGAUACCCCGGUAGUC